ACGUGCACUGAACGAGUGAGAUGCGGGAUGCUGGGCGGAUGUUGUGGCGUUUGCUGCACCAACUAGUGGCGGCAUUUCUGAAGCUCGUAACUCGGAUUUUGGCUUGCAACUCAAAGCAAAAAAUCAACCGAGUGACGGCUUGUAACUCAGAAAACUCAUAAGUUGGGGCACUCGUAAGUCAAGGAGUUUCAACUGAAGUGUGAACUGUGGACCAUGAAUGACCUAAAAAAGCGGUCAGACUGCAGUGUUGAGAAGUUAGAAUCCCUGAGUGCAGUCUUCUCAAAGAGGAUUAAUGAUCAAGAAAAAGCCUAUAAAGUGCAUUGCAAAUUCAUGGAAGAAGCCGUAAAAAAUGCCAGCGAGACCAGCAGUGGAGCAAGAAAGGUCUACAAAAUAUUGUCAGGAUCUUGAAUCUCUUCACAUUUUGAGUUUCCCAUAUUCAGGAUAGUCAAGAAAAUAAGCUUUUUUCAAAUCAACCUGUAUGAUUUUUUUUUUUUUUGAAUCGUCAGAUUACAAAGAAAAUUUAUUUUUAUUUUAAUGAGGGGGAAGCAUUAACCCUUAAACUGUCCAAGCAGAUCUACGUUCACAUGCGUAGUGCUCCAAAAGUAGAUCAAAGUUUUUUUUACACGUUUUCAAAUGUAAAAAAAAAAAAUUACUUUUUUACAUACUUUCAAAUGUUGAAAAAACAUAUACAUUUGGACCGUUUACAGGUUAAACUCAUAGGGUUUGUAUACAGCACAUUAUUCUUAUAUUGAUAGCAAAAUGCUGACUUCAACUUGAACAUAAAUAUAAUAGUUACUCCUUGCUCAACAUUGAGGCUUUGUAAUAAAAUAGGCUGUUUUCAAAGAAGUACGUUAUAUACAAUAUAUAACAGGGGUCUCCCUUCAAUGGAAGGGGGAGGGGACUUGAUGCCACUUAAGGGCUCUUGAUCCAGGGAAUUGGAGCUGCAAUCCCUUUGUAUGAAACUAGAUUACUUGUCAUUCCCUAAUGAGCUUAGUAUUUCCCCAUACAUAUAAUUAAAAUCUACUUUCCUAUUGAAUUGCACUAUAAAAAAUAGUAUUGUUUAAUACUUAACCAUAAAGCUUUAGCAUAUCAUAGUAUAUGUUAAUCUUUAGUAAGAGGGGAGUUUGAUGCUGAUGGGCUCUUGAUCCAAGGAACUGAAGUUGCUUUCCCCUUCUUUGGAUUGAACCUGAUUACCUUAGGUGCUAUAUAAAAUGAAUACAUAAUAAUAAUAAUAAUAAUGUUUAUUUCAGCAUAAUACUGUGUUUAUACAAAGGAAAUGAGAUUUUGGUGUACAUGCUGAAAAUGUUUGUUUUGUUGACCUUGCCGGUGGUGGGAUACAAUCUUUAGGUAAAUGAAAGUUUAGGUAAUCAGAGUUGAUUCAAGGGUGGGAGGGCAACUCCAUUUCAUUAGAUUAAGAGCACUUCAUUAUCAGAUGCAGUGAAUUUAUAUGACCUAUUAAAUAUUUAGAGGGUUGAGGCCAUUAAAAAUCUCAGGCUCAAAUACUUUAAUUAAAGUACUGCACUUCAUUGAAGCUCCAGUCAAUGGCUCGUCUGCACUUAAUGUUAAACCUUUCAUUCUAAUGUUAAAUUUUACCCACUAAAUAAUUUUUGUUUGAUCAUUAAUUAUCCAUUAUGUUAGUUAAGCAUAUUUUAGUUUAAUUCUCACAGAAAAUGUGAGUGCAGAUGCUAGUGUUGUGGACCGAUUUGUUAUUAUCUUUGAAAUAUUUUACACAAGAUACAUUUUGAAAGGUUUCCCAUUAUCAUAUUUGUAAGGAAGUGCUAAACUUGUAUGAAUUUCUAUUAUAUCCAGUAAUGCAAAUACUGUACAUUGAGUAUUUAAAUUUUUGAAAAGGAAAAUACAGUGGAACCUUGUUUUUCAGCUGUAAUCCGUUCCAGGUCGGCCCAAAUAUGAGACAGCCGAAAUUUGAAGUAAUAUUUCCCAUAAGAAUUAAUGUAAAUACAAUUAAUCCAUUUCAGACACCCAAAAAUAUUCACAAAAAAAUACAUUUUUUAAAGAAUAA